CCCAAGGCUGACGCCUUGGGCUAAAGCAUACCGUCCUCUAUUCGAGGGCU
rnacentral:sRNA from 1 species